GUGCUGUUAGUGGAAGAGUACAUUUUCAUUGAUCCAUUCGUGGUACGGAAGCAAGGAACGUACGAAUUUACGAAUCCUAAUCGUGAUAUUAACUUCGUAUUCACUGUAUUUCAAAUCAAAGUUACGAUUAAACAAAUUUCCCUUUUGAAUAAUUCUUACCAUGGAUCGUUCGAAAACGUUAUGGUGGAGAAGUGAGAGGAAAGCUAAGAAAUGGGCUCAAUCAAAGGUUCAUACAGAAGAAGCGUAUACCGCAAUUGUCAUUGGGUGAGUACGGAUUUGUAGUUGCGAUAGUCUCUCGCGCAGGUUAGUUGAACGUGGUGGGUGGUCAGACAGAGGGGUGGUUCGUGUAACGAGUCGCGAAUGGUGCGGAUAUAUAGUGGGGCGCCUCGAAACUAGUUCCUGUCGAGUCCGCUGCGCGAGAUUGGCGCGUGGCGGUGCAAUAACGUCCGCGUCGGGUUUGUCUAAUCGUGACACAGUCCUCGAGAGAAGCUUUUCAGCCGAUAAAAGUGUGCGUCAGACACGGAGUGUUUUAAGAGACUCAGACUCAGUGUUAACGGGGAACUGGUGGAUGGUGGUGAAUUCCCGUGGCCAGAUUAGCUGGAUAAAAAGCAAAGAUUGAAACAAAGGAACGCGGAUGAGCAAAACGUCGACAAAACGGGAGACAGUGCUAGUGGCGACUAAGUGAACGAGAUAGAGUCUACGGGAAGAAAGAGAGAGAAAGAGAUAUAAACGAGUAGGGGGGAUAUAUAGGGAUGAAGAAAGAGUGAGAAAGUGCUAGGUAGGAGGUAUAAGUGAUAGAGGGAAACAGAAGGGGGAAUAAGAAAGAAAGAGAGGGAGGGGUAACGAUAGAGACAGACGGACGGGUGUUAGAAAGAGAGAGAAGGCGCGCGCGCGCGUCUAUGUGCCAGAAGGAACUGACAGAUAAAGGAAGUGGAAAGGACCUGGUCGGUCCUUCGGUAAGGAAAGCUAAGGGUACGAAGGACGGCAGGAAGGCAGGAAAGACGGAAGGAUCGUAGUCAGACGAAGCUGUGUUACGGGGUGACAGCGGUGCGAGUAGUAGAACGCGUCGGGUCUGUCCCCCAGGAAGGGACCGUCGCGCGCAACGCGAUCAAUUUUCGUUGCGACGCGGGCGGUGAGACUGGAGGAAAGGAAGAAAUGACGACUGCAGCGAGAUACCGAUAACCGGCCAGAUAAUGUUGUCGCAGAGCAAGUUUUACGCUCUCUUUAUCCACUACACAUUUGUGUAGCGCGACACGGGGCGGGUCCUUGCCGCUGCGGUGAAGAACAGAGGUGUCGGAAGAGGAGGUGGAGGCGCGAGGAGAACAAAAGAGACGAAGAAGAAGGAAGAAGAAAAAGUGGAAGAACGAAAAUUAGGAAAGGAACGAAGAAAUUCGUUGGAAUUCCUGAAAAGUCUAAAAAGAUAUCCGAGAAACUAGGAUACGUUUCAUUGUCUAUCGUCUAUAAUCGUUGCGAAAAGAAACAGAAACAAGGAAAGAACGGAGGAAAGAAGAGAGAAAAAGAAGAGAAUAAGAGAAAGAGACACACAUAAACACACACGCACGUAUACGGAAAAGACAGAAAAGUUUGUCGAUGUACGGUGUGUGUUCAGUUUACAGUGUCGUUGCUUGGUAGUGUGCUCUACCCUUGCCGAAGUUGAAUAAGUAAGGCCCGCGGAGGUAUCUCAGAACCCGCCCCUCCUCGACGUCGCAGUGCCUCUUUUCCAUAUCGCUACGUCGUGCUUUUUUUCGUUCAAGCUACGACUAUCCCUACAUUACCGGAGAAACUCCUCGACUAUAAGUAUCGAUCGACUCGAAGAUCAGACUAUGUUAUAUCGAAUAACGGAUUGAUCGCACCCGUCGCUUCAUUCACACGUCGGACAUGAAAAAUCUUGGUUCGCGUUGGACGGUCCCCGACAUAGCACGCACUGCCGCAGCGCGUUCGUCAUUUCUCGUCGCCAUUUCGUCGGAACGAGAUUCAGGUAGCAGCAGCAGCAACAGCAUCAUCAUCAACGAUAGCAGCAGCAACAUCAGAAGCAGAAGUAUUAGCGUGAAAGUGAAAAGGAGCAACGUUAGAAGUAGCGGUAGUGGAAUCAACAGGGAAAGUAUCAACGGUAGAGGCAGAGUCACGGCGAUCGAAAAGUAUAAGAGGGGAACGAGGGGAAACGGUAGAUCGGCAGUCGACGUGCUGCACGAGUCGAAUUUAUCCGUCCGAUCGUACGUAACGGCGUCGUCAAAUCGGUUCGACGGCACGACGCGUCCCGAAUCGACGACCAGGUACCGGCCACUAGCCGGCAAGUCGCGCGGUUCUCAGCACCGGUCUCGUCCUCGUCAGCCGCAGCCGCAGCCACCGCAGCAGCCACUCUAUUACCCCCCCGCAUCGUGGGACACGCGCACAUUACACUUCAGGAACUGUUAGCACCGAUCAAAAGAAGGUGGCUCAGCUGUGUGCAGCUUAGACAAUGUCCGAAGAUUCUGACUCUGUAUCAGAGGAAGAAAGAAGUUUGUUCCGUCCGUUCACGCGGGAGUCCCUGGCAGCGAUCGAGGCUCGCAUCGCCGAGGAACAUGCCAAGCAGAAGGAGCUCGAGAAGAAGAGAGCGGAAGGCGAGGUUCGAUAUGACGACGAGGACGAGGACGAGGGUCCUCAGCCGGAUCCGAUGCUCGAACAAGGAGCACCGAUCCCGGUCCGACUGCACAACGAAUUUCCACCCGAGUUGGCCUCCACACCUCUCGAGGAUAUCGAUAGCUUCUAUCAUAAUCAAAGGACCUUCGUCGUCAUCAGCAAGGGGAAGGACAUAUUCAGGUUCUCAGCGACAGAUGCGAUGUGGAUCCUCGACCCGUUCAAUCCGAUACGACGAGUGGCCAUUUAUAUAUUGGUUCACCCACUGUUCUCCCUCUUCAUUAUCACUACAAUAUUGGUUAACUGCAUACUCAUGAUCAUGCCCACUACGCCCACCAUCGAGUCUACGGAGUCUGAAAACCAUUGUCGGCGCUGUGAUAGAAUCCGUGAAGAACCUGCGCGAUGUGAUAAUCUUGACGAUGUUCUCUCUUUCCGUCUUUGCGCUGAUGGGCCUCCAGAUUUAUAUGGGGGUGCUCACGCAAAAGUGUAUAAAGAACUUUCCCGAGGACGGCUCCUGGGGCAAUCUGACCGAUGAAAACUGGGAGCGAUUCGUUAGUAAUGAAACUAAUUGGUACGUGGACGAGGCGAAAAACAUGCCUUUGUGUGGAAAUUCAUCUGGAGCAGGGCAGUGCCUUCCUGGUUACACGUGUUUACAAGGAUACGGUGAAAAUCCGAAUUACGGUUACACGAGUUUCGACACCUUCGGCUGGGCUUUAUUAUCCGCCUUUCGUCUGAUGACGCAAGAUUAUUGGGAAAAUCUGUACCAGUUAGUGCUUAGAUCGGCCGGCCCAUGGCAUAUGUUGUUCUUCAUCGUGAUCAUUUUUCUUGGCUCGUUUUAUCUCGUCAACUUGAUUCUUGCUAUUGUCGCGAUGUCUUACGAUGAAUUGCAGAAGAAAGCUGAGGAAGAGGA
rnacentral:misc_RNA from 1 species